rnacentral:ncRNA from 1 species
GAAAGCACGCAGGGGAGUCCCGCCACGGGGACUGAGAGGCUGACAGGACGGGAACACUUCCGGCCGGUGACGCGACCCUUAGAACCUGACCCAGUUGACACUGGCGUAGGAAGCUAGGAUGCGCGUCGU